UAAUAAGUGUUUUAUGGCACUUUUUAAAUCCAUAUCCACCUUGUGUGCAAUGUCAGUCGAUCUUCUUCAUGGAGAUCGACCAAACAUCAACCUUUAUCUUUUAACUAUUUGUCUGAAAAACUAUUAUGAAUAAACUAAUUCAAAAUA
rnacentral:misc_RNA from 1 species